AUCUCAUUGGCCAUUGCGUAGUAUGCUGCGUUCAGUGCCACUACGCAAUCUGAACACUCGCACUUGUUAAACGCAAGACAAGUUCUAUUUCUCCCCCUCUUGUUCAUUUUCGUGCCCUCGAUUUGAUGUCUGCUUCAAGUUGGAAUUCCCUACAUUUUUCUACGUGAUUAACUAUUGCCGGACACAAGAAACCAUUUUUUCGUCUUGGAGACGAAACUUAUUUUGACAAGCACUCCCAUCACGCAAAGGGUGUUGCGUUUAGAUCUUCCGGAAAUCAAAGAGAGACAUAUGAUGCAGAUGCCCUCUCCGGUGACCUUUCGUCAAGCAACGCUCCCGUCAUCAGGCCUAGUUCCAAAAGAGGAGAGCUCAGUGCACCCGAGCUUUCCAACAUGAUGAUGGUUGAAACGCAACAUGCAGUCAACUGCAAUGCUCUUUUGGGAUUUCCAGCUGGGCACUGCACUAACAAGGUUAGUAACAAGAUUGUGCCAUCAGGGAAACUCGAACCAAGCAGCAAUAAUGCAUCUGACUUAAAGACAUUAAGAGCCCACUUCGGCUCUCCACAUGGAUUUUCGUAUCAAUAUAGAUCUGGAUUAAAAAAAAAAUGGGGUCGGCACAUUUUAUGGAAAUAUUACAAGGAGCAGUUAUAUAGUUAAUAAUGCAAAUUAAGUGGAAAGUGAUUUUAUUUCUUUCAU